rnacentral:rRNA from 1 species
AGAGUUUGAUCAUGGCUCAGAACGAACGCUGGCGGCGUGGAUAAGACAUGCAAGUCGAGCGCGAAUUCUGGUGUAGCAAUACAUCAGAGUUUGAGCGGCGCAAGGGUGCGUAACACGUGGGUAAUUUGCCGUGAAGUUGGGGAUAACUCGCUGAAAGGCGAGCUAAUACCGAAUGUGGAAUGAGAGUGGCAUCACUUUUUUUCUAAAGCUGGGGAUCGUAAGACCUGGCGCUUCAUGAUAAGCCCGCGGCUAUCAGCUAGUUGGUGCGGUAACGGCGCACCAAGGCUAAGACGGGUAGCUGGUCUGAGAGGACGACCAGCCACACUGGAACUGAGACACGGUCCAGACACCUACGGGUGGCAGCAGUCGAGAAUUUUUCUCAAUGGGCGAAAGCCUGAAGGAGCGACGCCGCGUGGGGGAUGAAGGGUUUCGAUCCGUAAACCCCUGUCAUUUGUGAACAAUGGUUAUCCAUGAAUAGUGGAUGACUUGAUAGUAAUGAAAGAGGAAGGGACGGCUAACUCUGUGCCAGCAGCCGCGGUAAUACAGAGGUCCCGAGCGUUGUUCGGAUUCACUGGGCGUAAAGGGUGCGUAGGUGGCAUGGCAAGUUUGAUGUGAAAGCUCAGGGCUCAACCCUGAAAUGGCAUUGAAUACUGCUGUGCUGGAGGUUUGGAGGGGGGACUGGAAUUCUCGGUGUAGCAGUGAAAUGCGUAGAUAUCGAGAGGAACACCAGUGGCGAAGGCGAGUCCCUGGACAACACCUGACACUGAGGCACGAAAGCUAGGGGAGCAAACAGGAUUAGAUACCCUAGUAGUCC